GAUGAACGCUGGCGGCGUGCCUAAUACAUGCAAGUCGAGCGAACGGACGAGAAGCUUGCUUCUCUGAUGUUAGCGGCGGACGGGUGAGUAACACGUGGAUAACCUACCUAUAAGACUGGGAUAACUUCGGGAAACCGGAGCUAAUACCGGAUAAUAUUUUGAACCGCAUGGUUCAAAAGUGAAAGACGGUCUUGCUGUCACUUAUAGAUGGAUCCGCGCUGCAUUAGCUAGUUGGUAAGGUAACGGCUUACCAAGGCAACGAUGCGUAGCCGACCUGAGAGGGUGAUCGGCGACACUGGAACUGAGACACGGUCCAGACUCCUACGGGAGGCAGCAGUAGGGAAUCUUCCGCAAUGGGCGAAAGCCUGACGGAGCAACGCCGCGUGAGUGAUGAAGGUCUUCGGAUCGUAAAGCUCUGUUAUUAGGGAAGAACAUAUGUGUAAGUAACUGUGCACAUCUUGACGGUACCUAAUCAGAAAGCCACGGCUAACUACGUG
rnacentral:rRNA from 1 species